UACGUAGGGUGCAAGCGUUGUCCGGAAUUAUUGGGCGUAAAGAGCUCGUAGGCGGUCUGUUACGUCCGCUGUGAAAACCCAGGGCUUAACCCUGGGCUUGCAGUGGAUACGGGUAGACUAGAGGCAGGUAGGGGAGAAUGGAAUUCCAGGUGUAGCGGUGAAAUGCGUAGAUAUCUGGAGGAACACCGGUGGCGAAGGCGGGUCUCUGGGCCCGAUAUUGACGCUGAGGAGCGAAAGCGUGGGGAGCGAACAGG
rnacentral:rRNA from 1 species